rnacentral:lncRNA from 1 species
AGUCAACCAGAAAAUCACCAUAUUGUUACAUAUGUCCCACAACUUUUGUUCAGCCACAUUAGUAGUUGGUCGGGGACAGGUACCAUCAACAAAACCAAUUUUAUUCUUAGCAGAUAAGACCACUAUCAUCUUUCUCUUCCAACCCCAAAACCACUACCCGAAAAAGGAGUAGGAACAAGUGAAACACCAGGAAUAUCGGAAGAGUAGACAAACAGAGGGCUCGUAGGAUCAAUAGAUGAAGCACUAUUAGGAUUCAUAUUUAACAUCAGGAACAACAUUAAGUAGAAAUCGAUUCAAUUUCUGCGAGCGAUUCGACACACUAGAUUUUCACCAAAACACAUGCAAACUUCCUAACUAAAAGUGAGAAUAUGUUUACCCGACUUCUUCGCUACCGGAGAAGAACGGCCUUCAAUGCACGGUCAAAACCCUAGCUCCGAGUGAUACAAAACCAACGCUUGUGAAUCCGCCGGAAUCAAGCAUGAAAGGUGUCGGAAAUCUACCCCAAACACCAAGCUGAGGAGAAUGUUAACAGGUGAAACCAAAACAAAACUCCGAUUCAGCAGCUAACUGAAAACGCACAGAAACUGGAAACACCAGUGAGACCUCAACAAAACUGAGCCGGAUCAACAAAGAAUAGAGAAGAAGAGUCCCGAAAAACCACGCUCUGAUACCGUGAAAACAUGCUAGGUUGAGAUGAGAAUCGAGCUUCAUCUUUUUUGUUCCAGAGAGUUCGAAAGAGAGAAAGAGUUCAUACAUUCUGAGUGAAGAGAAA